rnacentral:rRNA from 1 species
AUGGAGUCUAGGACGGCAGAAUUUACUGAUAACGAUUGUACAUGCCUACAGGUAUCUGCGGGCAUUCAUGAAUUUUCUGAUAUGCACAAGCUAGUGGACUUAAAUCAUGCGAUGUUGGGCAAGGUGCGCUCAGCUAUCAGCUGCCCGCAGAAUUUGCAUCAGAUUCAGGAACAGGUUGAUGAUGUCGAGGUAGAGGGACACGGCAGCCCAGAUGUACUCGUCAUACGUGUGGCGCUUGAUGAUGUUGUCCGUGUCGAAGAUGAUGUAGCCACAGAAGAUGAUCGACGCCACGGCCCCAUAUAUCAUGGUGGAGAUCUUGCCCAGUGGGAAAAAGAUCUGCCAGCACAAGUGUGGUGA